rnacentral:rRNA from 1 species
CGCUGGCGGCGUGCCUAACACAUGCAAGUCGAACGAAUCAUCUUUGUAGCAAUAUAGAAGAUGGUGAGUGGCGCACGGGUGAGUAAUACAUAGAUGAUCUGCCUUUCAGACUGGGACAACUCAGGGAAACUUGAGCUAAUACCAGAUAAGACCACAUGAAGGGAUUCACGUGACCAAAGGGUGAGCAAUCUCCUGCUGGAAGAUGAGUCUAUGUCCUAUCAGUUAGUUGGUGGGGUAAAGGCCUACCAAGACGAAGACGGGUAGCCGGCCUGAGAGGGUGAACGGCCACACUGGAACUGAGACACGGUCCAGACUCCUACGGGAGGCAGCAGUGAGGAAUUUUCCGCAAUGGGCGAAAGCCUGACGGAGCGACGCCCGCGUGAGGGAUGAAGGUUUUCGGAUCGUAAACCUCUUUUAUCAAGGAAAAAGGCUUUAAUGCGAAUAACAUUAAAGUUUGAUUGUACUUAAUGAAUAAGCCCCGGCUAACUACGUGCCAGCCGCAGC